rnacentral:misc_RNA from 1 species
UACGUAGGGGGCAAGCGUUGUCCGGAAUAAUUGGGCGUAAAGGGCGCGCAGGCGGUAAAUUAAGUCAGAUGUGAAAGGCUGGGGCUCAACCCCAGAGCUGCAUUUGAAACUGAUAUACUUGAGAGCAGGAGAGGGCAGUGGAAUUCCCGGUGUAGCGGUGGAAUGCGUAGAGAUCGGGAGGAACACCAGUGGCGAAGGCGACUGCCUGGCCUGGGACUGACGCUGAGGCGCGAAAGCGUGGGGAGCAAACAGG